rnacentral:pre_miRNA from 1 species
UUAAUUCAAAUUUGUAUGGAGUUGGAACAGCUUUUCUUCGUUUGGCGCUAGGGGCGCUGUUUCAACUCAAUACCAUUUUGAGUUA